rnacentral:lncRNA from 1 species
UAAUAAUCUUCUUGUAACCACUGACAGGCCUUUUUGUGAAUGAUGAUGGAAAAAGCAAGAACCUUGUCCAGGUUCCUCUCCAGGGAGCAGGGGUGGGUUGUGAUUCUUGAUUUCAUUCCUUUAGAUAUGAAGAGUUUUCACACAGAGGCAGCACGAAUUUGUCUCUCUCCUAGAGGGUGGGGAGAGUUGCUGGGUGGAUAUAACUGCAUCACAGCCUUUCUGGGUAAACUGGCCACUCCCUACUGAUUUGUUAUCAUGCUAAAUGUGUCUCCUCCCUUCCUUUCUGGAGCUUUUGCAGCUGUUCCUGGAAGGAGACCCAGUUGAAAGGGGUUGUUAUGGACCAGGAACAGCUGGGAUCUUUAAUGAUCUGUGAGCAGCUUACAGCAAAGUUCCAACACCCUGAGUAUCAGUCCCCAAAUCCUUGGUCUUUGCAUUCCAACACAAAGUAAAAAGGAUUGAGCAGGGUUUUGGUUUUGGUUGCAAGUAACAGAAACCCAACGCUAAUUAAUAAACGGGAAAGUGUGUCAGUGGAAAUCUCCACAAGUCCGACGGAAAGAGAAAACUGCUUUCCCAAAGGGUGUAAGAGGAUGAAAGGCAUGUCAUCAGCUGAAUUGCAUCAGGUGUCCAUCUUGGAAUCAAUCACGGUGCCUCUUAUUAGCAAAGCCUGAGUCAUAGGCAUGUGUCAUUUCACAUCUGCAUAAAAAGACAUGCUGAAGGAUGUUCCUUGCAGAAUGGUUAUAGAGAAAAAUGGGAAUAACCACGAUAUAAAGUAACAGGUCUAUACAGCAAUUAUUGUCCAAAACACUCUACUGUUUUCUGGAAGUAAGUUUUUGAAAACAUUUUCUUUUUUACCUUUUACUUCUGUAUCAGUCAGUAUAGGCUACAGUGUGCUGCAGUAAUAAAUAACCUUGACUUCUUAGUGGCUUAGUAUAAUAAAGCUUUUUUUCCUCACUCAUGCUUUAGCUAUUGAUUGGGGCUCUGCUUCAAGUUAUCUUCACUUCAGCAUACAAGCUGAUGGGGCUGCCACCAUGUAGAAGGUUGCUAUGAUUGAGAAAGAAAUCACUUGAUGAAUUCACACACCAACUUUUUGUUUGUUUGUUUGUUUGUUUUGGA